UGGAACGGCUGCUAAAACCCGAUGUGCCGAAAGGUGAAAAAUUUAUUGCCUGAAGAUGAGCUCGCGUCCGAUUAGCUAGUUGGCGGGGUAAAAGCCCACCAAGGCGGCCAUCGGUAGCUGGUCUGAGAGGAUGAGCAGCCACACUGGGACUGAGACACGGCCCAGACUCCUACCGGAGGCAGCAGUGGGGAAUUUUCCGCAAUGGGCGAAAGCCUGACGGAGCAAGACCGCGUGGGGGAGGAAGGCUCUUGGGUUGUAAACCCCUUUUCUCAGGGAAGAAUAAUGACGGUACCUGAGGAAUCACCCUCGGCUAACUCCGUGCCAGCAGCCGCGGUUAUACGGAGGAGGCAAGCGUUAUCCGGAAUUAUUGGGCGUAAAGCGUCCGCAGGUGGCUUUUCAAGUCGGUGGUCAAAGCACAGGGCUCAACUCUGUAAAGGCCGGCGAAACUGAGAGGCUAGAGUGCGGUAGGGGCAGAGGGAAUUCCCGGUGUAGCGGUGAAAUGCGUAGAUAUCGGGAAGAACACCAGUAGCGAAAGCGCUCUGCUGGACCGCAACUGACACUCAUGGACGAAAGCUAGGGGAGCGAAUGGGAUUAAUCCCC
rnacentral:rRNA from 1 species